GACGAACGCUGGCGGCGUGCUUAACACAUGCAAGUCGAACGGAAAGGCCCUGCUUUUGUGGGGUGCUCGAGUGGCGAACGGGUGAGUAACACGUGAGUAACCUGCCCUUGACUUUGGGAUAACUUCAGGAAACUGGGGCUAAUACCGGAUAGGAGCUCCUGCUGCAUGGUGGGGGUUGGAAAGUUUCGGCGGUUGGGGAUGGACUCGCGGCUUAUCAGCUUGUUGGUGGGGUAGUGGCUUACCAAGGCUUUGACGGGUAGCCGGCCUGAGAGGGUGACCGGCCACAUUGGGACUGAGAUACGGCCCAGACUCCUACGGGAGGCAGCAGUGGGGAAUAUUGCACAAUGGGAGGAAGCCUGAUGCAGCAACGCCGCGUGCGGGAUGACGGCCUUCGGGUUGUAAACCGCUUUCGCCUGUGACGAAGCGUGAGUGAGGGUAAUGGGUAAAGAAGCACCGGCUAACUACGUG
rnacentral:rRNA from 1 species